rnacentral:rRNA from 1 species
UACGUAGGGGGCUGGAGCGUUGUCCGGAAUCAUUGGCGUAAAGAGCGUGUAGGCGGCCCGGUAAGUCCGCUGUGAAAGUCGGGGGCUCAACCCUCGAAUGCCGGUGGAUACUGUCGGGCUAGAGUGGCUGGAAGAGGCGAGUGGAAUUCCUGGUGUAGCGGUGAAAUGCGCAGAUAUCAGGAGGAACACCGAUUGCGAAGGCAGCUCGCUGGGACGUAACUGACGCUGAGACGCGAAAGCGUGGGGAGCGAACAGG